rnacentral:lncRNA from 1 species
GUUGGUGAUGUUCUGCUGCUGCCGGGCGGGCCAGCCUGUAACUCAGGCGUUGGCGGGAGCCUCGUGCUCCGCGGGGCUUCUUGAAGAGGGUGAGGUGUGGGGGUACCGUCCUGUAGGCAGGGCUGUGUGUGCCCCCCGUGUGUGCUUGGUGAGCUGCGUUCUGAGAGACCCCCUGUACUCAGGUGGGAAUGUGGCCCCGGCCUUUCAGAGGCGCGGGGCCGUGAGAUGCGGGGUGGGGCUUGCGCCCUCCCUGGAAUCGGGGCUGGGAUCCCGACUGCGGCCUUUGGCCGUGCCGCCCCGCUGCCUGGCUGCUGAGAGUUGCUCCUGCCGCUGGGGGGGAAACCGAGCUCUGUGGCUCCAGGGGUGUUGUCCACCCGCCUGUAAUCAGGGUCUGGGUGCGCGAGCGUUUGUGCUCUGCUGGCAGCCUGUGUGGGGUGACCGCCCCGCUAGCGGGGUGUGGGUCGAGGUGCCCCGGACUGGGAGAGAAGGAGCCUCCCUCGGCCGUAGGGAUGGGGGCUGCCCUGUAAGUCAGGGAGCAUCUGUGUCCCGGAGUCCCAGGCCCUUUUCAAUGGCGGCAGUGGCCGGGGGUCCCCUGUAAGCAGGGAAGCUGACUCUUUGGCUGCUGCUUUUUGUGUGCCCAGCCCAUUUGCCCGGUCUGCCCGCCUCUGUGAUCCCCCGCAGCACUGGCUGGAAGUCUGCCGCGUGUCAGUGAGGAGCUGCUGCAGAAGGAAGAAGAAGAAGCGGCGUGGGGAGCUGGGAGGCAGGAGCAAGCAAGAAGAGGAAGCGGAAGCGUGCAGAUGCGGGGGGGAAGGAGAGAGGCUCCCUGGGCAAAGCACCUGUCCCGUUAGCAGGGGCACAGUCACGUUUGAGUUGAGAGCUGCCGGCGCCUUUGGUGACCAGGCUGGCGUUGUGCUGGGCGACCUCCCCGUAAGCGGGGCUCGGGUCUUUGCUGUAGUUGGCCUUUUGCCUUGCUGCUCCUUUGGCUGCCUGGGGAGCGUGGCCCCCUGUAACGGAGGGCGAGAGCCACCUCUCCGCACCUGAGUGGGAAAUGGAGCUCGCCGGACCCCGAGGCCACCCUGUAAGCAGGGUAGUGCCGUUUCCCUGCCCCUCUUCCUCCCCCGGCCCCUCGGCAUCGUUGCCUGAUGGUGGCUUGUCAACGCGACGGCCCCGUACUCGGGGUGUGUGUCCCAAGCUUCGGAGCCCUCUGUCCCUGAGCAGCCCGCCCGCCCUGUAAUCAGGUGUGGGGAGGCUGCAGCGUUGCAGCCGGCUGCUUUAGCCGUCCAGCUGGUGGGAGUGACCCCUCCCUGUCCCGUCAGAGGGUGCAGGUUGAGGUGCUGUUUGUGUGUGGGGUGACCUCCCCGCUCGGUGGGUCGAGGUAGCUCCCUGGGCUUCCAAAGACGAGACGUUGGUGAUGUUCUG